ACAUAAAAACAGGGGUGCCGAAAGGCUGAGAUCCGCGUUUUGCGGAGUACCCUUUUACCUGACCGGACAAUGCCGGCGUGGGAGUUUGCAGAACUGUCCG
rnacentral:ncRNA from 1 species